CAGAAUCCAAAUUCUGAUGCCAAGGUGCUUAUGAAAAAAGGGUUAAUUUUACAAGAACGGUAAAAAAUUCGAAGCAUAAUGUUACAUAACAGAUACUGAAACUAUUUGACUUGUUAUUUGCGAAAAGAAACAUUUCAUACAACACCAAGGAACAUAAAAGAAUUAGAAUCGAUCAUAAGAAAAAGGACUUAUCAGAGACUCUUCAAGUUCUCGAAAUCCUCGGUAAACAGCCUCAGUUUUGCUCUGGGGAAGCGGCAACCUCCUCACUUCUGUCAUGUACCUGUUUGCAGCACUUGUGAUCUUAUCACGAAUUCCCUGGUUAAUGACUGUUGUUUGCUCCUGUGAGAAUGUUCCACCUAAUAUUAGGGAAGCUCCACUUGUCGUAGUACCCAUCCGCUGUGCAAAUACAGACAUAGCCCAUUCUCGGAGUACCACUAGCACUGAUCUGAGAAGGCGUAACCUAAGGUUGGGAGAUGGCAAAAUAGCUCCAUUUGACAACAACUGAUCAUAUGCAUUCAGGACAGGUUCGGUUGCACCCUUGCAAGCAGCAAGAAGAGCUCUUGCUACAUCUUCAUCUCCAACAGAUUCAACCCCUGAUUCCAGUCUCUCCAGAGCGGCCUUCUCAAGGUGAAGACAUAAAGUAUCUAAAGGUAAAACAGCUCCAUCUCCAGGAUACAUGUGGGAACCAACCCUCUUCAACACUGAACAAGCUUCAGCAAUGCCACCACUUGAAAGAGCUUGAUCUAUUAGUCUAGCCCAGGUUUCCCUUAUAAUGCUACUAUCAGCAUCACCAGAAUAAUUUGCAAAGUAAAGCAUCUCAAGACAUACCUCCCAGAGUUCAAAAGGAACCGCAUAUUCAUUAUAUAGUUGAGUUAUGCUUUUUAAAUCCAAUGAUAGUUCUUUGGCUUUUUCUUGUACAACUUUCACAUACUCCACAUUGGCAUUGUUGUCAGGGACAGAUCCAUUUUGGAUGGGCUCAGACAUGCUAGAUGAAGAUUCUAACCUGGAAGCUAUAGCCUCCAGUUCCUCUUUUAUUUUUAUUUGAAACCGAAGAACCACAAGCUUCCCUUCAAGCAAAUCUAGCAACCCACUGUCCAAGGCACCUGCACCCCUUGCGGAACCUACCAAACCACCAUUAUCACUAGCAUUCUUUGCCUGUAUAACAGCAUUGCUUAGAUAUUGGCGCCUUUGUUCAAGACUGGGAACA
rnacentral:misc_RNA from 1 species